rnacentral:misc_RNA from 1 species
AUGAGGUUAAUGAAUGAAGACAUAAUUACGUAUAAACGUGAUCACGCAGGUGAUAAAUAUUUAAAACAGUCAUGACGUCAAUUAUGUAAUUAGUGUUAAGAACAUGGAAAAAAAAAUAAUACUGCAAAAGUAUACGUUGAAAACAUUAUUAUAAUUAUUUGCAAAGUUUAUAAAUUGCUUAAUUUAUAAAUUUCACUAAAACAUAUUCCUUUUUUAAAAUUUGUGCUUUUUAAAUGAAUGAGAUGAAACAUGUUAAAACUUUAUUAUGUAGUAGACGCUGCUCACAAUUCUAUUGUUGAGUUUUGAUAUCCCUUUGUCUAUCUUUCGAAUUUUAUGAGUAGUACCUUCGUUUUGUACUCUUUACCCGUGUGACUUCUUAAUAAUAUUGCUAAUUAAAAAAUAUUAAAGGAUGUUGUUAACACAUUUCGAAAUGAAAAUUUAUUUUCGGUGUUCGUUAAUUUCGUGUGUUUGAUAACUGCGAAUCGUAGCAACGCCCAUUUUUGCAUGACCUACUCUUCUCUUACUUUGUGACACGCUACAGGAAAGAAAGACAGGACACGUCUGUUAUGCCCUUUUCGAAAAAUUGCUUGAAUAUAUUUUUAAUGAGAUUAUUACUUUCUUUGUAUUACGCUAACUAUCACAGCUUCGAUCCGCUCUUAACAAAUAUUUGUAUAGACAAGAUUUAUUGUUUGUAUGCAAUGUUAGGCGUUUGUUAAUUUUAUUAUUUACCUAUUUUGUUUAUGUUACCUAUAACACAAGCAUUAAGUUGCUUACCGAAGGAACAGACGACCGUGUGUGUAUGUUAUAGAUAUUUCUUUCCUUCUUCUUUAGGGUUAUUGGCUUUCAAUAGUGACAAAUUAGCACAGAUGAUUUCGCCAAUGUCACGUAGAAAUAUAUUAAUUAAACAUUUAAUAUUACUACUGAAUGAAUACUUUUUUAUAUGUCAUUAGCAAAGAUAUACGUUUAACUUUAAAACGAUUAUUACAUGCAUGCAAGUGCCAAUCCGUUGAUAAUUGCAAAUUGUUAGAUACAAAACGUUUCUAUGAACUCUAGCCUUCAUCAUAACAAUACGCUACGCUUAAUCUACAUUAACUUACGCUUAUAAGAUUUUGUUGAAUAAUAAAUGUAAGCAAUAUAAUAAUCUUAGAGCUAGUGGUCUACAAUAAAAAUUUAGCAAAGUAAAGGAUGGAUAGAUGUCGUAAGCCCGCAUCCGAAAGGUCUGAAGUUCAAGGACAACCGGGACCUAGAAGCAACAGCUGGAUCGAUAGAGGCUCAAUUCCAUCGCCAUGACGACCUGCAGCCGUGACCUGGAGGGGGAGGGGGGUGUUGCAUCGAACGGCCGGGCUGCAACGAGCAGUUAUUUCGGUGCAGCUCACAGUCGCCCGCCGCGCCUCCGAUAGUGCGCGCGUUUUACGCCGUGCGAUGCAACGAUAACGCCCCCGUGCACUCUGUCUUUAUAUAUUUAUCCGUUUUCUAACGCGCUGCUAUUUUUUAAUUGUUACCUAUUUUUAUUAAAUACAGACAACCAGUGCCUUACGUGUUGGCGCGAUCGCACCUGUUGCGCGAGGUGAAACCGUGUGGAAAACUCUUUUUCUCAGUAGCGGACGAGGCUACUUUCACCAUUCACAUUCCUCGGUUACGGUGCUGUUGCAUUAAACCAGUCGUAAUAUAUGUUACUCGUGGGUACUAAAGCGUUUUUCCGUGUUGACUAGAAUCUAAACUCGGUGGCGUAUUUUUCGACCCUUGACUCAUUGCGUAAAAAGGUACUGUAUGUGGGUUUGUUUAGGGAAAACCCAGAGUCAUAGUUUUACAACCAGAGUAAUAUUUUAAUAACAAUAGAAGGGUGGAGAAGGGAGGAGCUAUCCCCUCACACCCGUCACCUCUGAUAUCCUUUCAGCAUAAUCUGAUCAAUUUUAGUAGCUCAUGUAGAGUAUAUGUUGAAUACUAAGCUAUUGUAAUUUUGCUUCACAGUUUCGAAAGUGAAUUUUUAUUGUUUAUAAUUAUGUAAUAAUAAUGUUCACGGCUCGCUUGGAUACUUCAAAGCGAGUGCAAUAGUUUGUUGGUAAUAUUUAAGAUGUUAUGAAAUGUACAAGGAGGUAUGCUGCAUCUGGCGUUUGGCCAGAGAUGCAACUCCGAAGGUCGUCAGUGUGAGCGAGUGAGGGGUAGGGCUGACGCGAGCGGCUGCGGGGUGAGGUAUGCGGAGCGAUGCAAUAAUUAACGAGCGGAUCGCGCAGGUGCAGCCGGACCUCCAGGUCCCGGGCUUGUUGCAUGUUAGCCCACACCAUUCAUUUCUACGCCCACCGUCUUAACUAUUGAUUAGUUACAGUUGAAUUUUCAAAUCGUUUCCCGUAGCAUAGAUUGACAUGUAACACAUUGCCCAGAGCGUGUUCCUAAUUUAUCUCAACUUUUUUUAUCUAAUAAUAGUAAAUAGCGUAACAUUAUUUUAUCACAAAAUAGCAUGAUUAGGUAAGCCUACGUACAAUCGUAAAUCAAACAUUGUAUUAAUAUUGGAUAUGUUAUGUAGAUGAAUAUCGCCAUUAACACUAUUACUAGCAUAUAUCCAUACUAAUGUUGACAUGGGUGAGUUAUUUGUUCAUAUUUGAUGGUAAAUCAUCUUCUCUGUACAAGUAAACUUCAGAAUGAAUCGAUGCAUACGUUGGUGUUAACUUUUCCAAAUUCCAGCUUAAAGGUCACGAUAUGACGGGAGACAUCUAAUCGUUAUCACUUUCAUCUCACGCUCGAAACUCGUACGAGCGUGCAUCUUAUUGCGAAACGCGGCACGCAUUUAAAGCGAGCCACACACCGUACGAAACUUUCGCUGACGAGACCAUUGACCGUGGCUCGACUUUCUAAAUCAUUUCGUAAUGUCGGUGAUCGCCCCGGCCAUUGUAAUUCACGACACGCCUCGUCGGGACACGCGAUGUCAUUACUUGUUUUUUUUAUUUGUAACAUUUUCGCAAAUCCGUAGAAAGUACAACUGCAACGUUGCAACUUAAAAUAAUUUAAACUGUACAUUACAUUACAAUUUUACUGUGAAAAGUGUCGUAAGAUGUCUAGCAUCUUUACCAACCCACCUGUGAAUUGUAAUGAAUAACGAAUCCACUUCAAGUACCCCAGCUCAGCAGCUAGGCUAAGCUCGGUCUUAUCGUUCCUUUCUUUUUUACUAAAGCGUUAAAAUCAAACAAUAUUCGGUUCAAACGUUAUGCCAUUCAAUAUCAUAAAAUAAAUUAUGAAAAAUCUUUUCCAAUCUUUAAUGUAGUUAAAACUGAAAAAAGUCUGUUUAAUUACAGCCUAGUUUAGAUACAUUACAAAACAGUGAUUAUGUAUGUGAUGUCCUUGACCGUAAAUCCUAGGUCGCCUAGACAUGUCCUUGGGCGCUUUGCCAGCUCCCCCUCCCUACCUCUGCGCCUCACGUUCCGGGAUGCAGGAAGUCCGCGAUAUUGCCAAUAGAGUGCAUCAAUAGGCAUUCAAUAAUCGAGUAGCGUCCUACUUAUUGCCAACUCGCUAGUUAUUUGCGCUCGUGUUUAAUUUUUCUAUGGUCUAGCGAGUAUAGACCUAAAGAACGCGACAAUUAUUAUCAAAUUGUGUUUAAUAAAUUCAAACUAGUGGAAAUGUACCUCGCUACAGAAGCAGCUACAAGUUAAGAUUAGAUAAAAAUAGUUAAACAUUAAUUAAUAGAUUAAAACAUAGAAGUCGCUGCUAGUUGAUGUAUUUUUAUUUAAACGAAUACAUCUCUAAGCAUGAGUGAAAUAUUCCAAUUAAAAAAGACGUGAAUUAUUUUUAAAGGUUAGUGCGAAGUGAGUUAAUUUCAAAUUAUCGAUUGUCAUUUUCAGUUGGUAUUUAUGACAGCUUUAAUUUAGUGCGAUUUCAAGACUAAAUAAAAAUGAAAUUUCCUAUGAUUCAGUGUCUAAUCAGAUAUCUCGCUUAUCUAACUAGUAAAAUAUAUGGUUCGAAAUCUGAACAUACAUACUAUUAUGGUAUCAUUUGCAAUAAAAGCAAGAUUUGAUAUACUUACAUAUUGUGUAGUUUUAUUGCUUAUACUUAUAAAAAAAAGGUUAUAUAGAAUUAUUGUUUGUCUACUUAUCAUAUUUUUCGAACUGUUUUUAUUCAUUAAAUAUAUUACUAGAUACAUACCUAGUGAUUAAAAAAAAAUACACGAAUAAAACAUUAACUCUAUGGUAGAGUUAUGUAACCAUACGUUAUUUUUAAACAAACUUCUUGAAAUUAAUCGAAGUCGGUCCACACAGUCAAAAUUUGUGAAGUUAACACACAUAAAAAAAUACAGUCGAAUUGAAAACCUCCAUGGAAGUCGUUUUAGAACGAUGAAAUCAAAUUACAAACUAUUAUGUAAAUUUUUAUUAUCUUUGAGAAAGUAAGUACUUUUCUUUUAGGAGCAUUAAUUAAUUUCUAAAAACUUCAAACUUUCAUAUCUAUUAUACUUGCCUUUGCUAUGAGUGGGUAUGAUUUUCAUUAUGUGAAUUUUGUCAAAAAUUACUUAAAAUAGUAGUCGUGACAAAAUAUAGAUUGUAUUUAUUUAAUGUGGAAUUUUAUAACGUUUAAGAAUUCCGUUACUGAUAAAAAUCCCAUAUAAUUUUUAUUGUGUUGGUUUUUUAUUUUCAAAAUUUUAUCUAGGCACGUCAUAAUGUUUUGGAAAUUACGCCCAGGCUCUGCCGUGCUUAUUCACAUUGUUUGUUCGGUAAAAACAAAAUACAGAAUAAUUUAGAGUCCUUUUGAAUUGUUUUACAUACCUAUUUGAUUUUUAAUACAAUAACCAUAAUUGUGUUUGCUCGCAAACGAAAAAAAAAUCGACUUCAAUUACAUCGACAAGUAAUACAACGUAGAUCGAUGAAAAAUAGUCAAACAACUACGCGUUAUCAAAGAUUACUCAAAAAGUAGUUAUCAGAUCUCGAUAAAAUUUAUGUGUGACCACAUAAUAAACAUCAGCUUUCGAUUAAAUUAAAAAUUAUCAAAAUCGGUACACCCAGUAAAAAGUUAUUGCGGAUUUUCGAGAGUUUUCCACGAUUUCUCUGGGAUCCCAUCAUCAGAUCCCGGUUUCCUUAUCAUGGUAUUAACCUAGGGAUAUCCCCUUUCCAACAAAAAAAGAAUUAUCAAAAUCGGUAAAUCCAGUAGAAAGUUAUGCGGUAUAAUACAACGUAGGUCGACGAAAAAAGCGUCAAGUAAAAACGCAUUAUUAGAUAUAACUCGAAAAGUAGUUGUUAGACCUCAAAUAAAUUUGAAUUGGACCAAUUGACACACACCACCUUUCGAUUAAAACAAAAUUUGUCGAAAUCGGUCUACCCGGUCAAAAGUUCUGAUGUAACAUACAUAAAAAAAAAUACAGUCGAAUUGAGAGAACCUCCUCCUUUUUUGGAAGUCGGUUAAAAAGUACCUAAUGAGUUGUAAUCUGCGUUUUGAAUAUUAUAUCAUUUACAUAAAUAAUACCUACUUCAUUUUAUUGCUCGUACUGAGACCGAAGGACAAAAAACAGAUAAGAAUUGUUUAGUUUUAUGCAUUAAUUGAAUCAGAUAUUUGAAAUGCAGUAAGCAAUAUGUACCUACUCAUGCGUGCAGCAUGAUCUGUGAUUCGUUGCGCGGGCGCGGGAGUGACGCGUGAGUCAGGCGGCCUUGACGCAUAGUACAGCGUAAACCCGCCAGCCAACCACUAAAAUAUUGUUUUAUCGGUUCAGCCAACAGCGUGCCAGUGACAGCGCGAGGUCACUUUACUCUCAUGAGAACGAUAUUAGGGUUACGCGUGACACAAACCUUCUAAACUCAUCAUCGAAAACAAAAAUAGACGUGUUUCUAAAUAAUUGUCACCGCGUUGGCUGCGAGUCUAGUCGCAAUAUACAUUUAUCUAAUCGAUCACAAUUUAAUGUUUCGCUUUGAAAUGGUUCAUUUUGAUUUUGUCACAUAGAUCUCUAAAACGUGAGUUGAAAAUAUAAUUUAUUUACUGUGUUAAAAAUAACUAAUAUCCUAAAUAUAAAAUAGAAAUGUUUUUGCAAUGUUUUCGCUUAUCGCGGUGGGUUGGCCGUCGAAAUGGAGCAUCUAUUUGUGGCGCUCGAGGCCCGCGGCGACAUUAUUGUAACCGAGACCACUGAAUCUAAUGCACGGUUAAAGAGUUUAUACCAUUAGUUUACCACUUAAUAAUCCUAAUGCGGCGAGUAUUUGGCAAAAUAGACAGCAUCCGAAGGUAACAAUUUUCUGUAGUCAUGCGAAUUGAAAGGCAGAGUGUUCGGUGACCUAGUUAAAAAUGCAUCCGGUAACGCGUGCGCUUAUCUUUCACCCGCGUGGCCCACGGUACUACGAAGUACGUUGUACCUAUGUGCAAAUAUAACUACAGAGCUCUCUCUACGUAAAUUCACAUGGCUGCGUGGAUGUGUUGAAGAUGAAAGCGAGCUCGCACGCAGGCGAAAGUAAUAUGCGUGAAAUCAGAUGAAGAAACGGUGGGGUAGCCACAACAGGUGGGCCACGACGUGAGGCUGGCGCGGCGGGCGUCGGCAUGCGACGUUGGGCGUCAGUGACAGUGGUCGGCGCUCAGUGCUCAGCGAUUUCGUCGAGAGCCCGAGUUGGCGGCGCAGCGGAGCGGCUUAUUUCAAGCCGAGCCGCUCGCUGCACCGACCGCUUUGCGAAACCGGCGGUUAUGCAAGGCGUGCCGCUGCCAACUCGCGACCGCUCGUACGCCGCUGCGCGCCGGAAGGAAAAGUGGAACGCGUCGCAGUGGUACGGCCGCGCGCGCCGCCUCUGCACGCCCCGUGGACUCCAGUGAAGUGCCCUCUAGUGUCGUGUCAGUGUCGCUUCUAGAACGUUGUAAUUGAGUGUUGCGCAAGUCUCCGCCUACAGCGGGAUUAUUUUAAACUAGAUAAUUAGACGACCUCGUCGCGAGACCGACUCGCGACUCGCAAACCCAUACCUGUACAUAAAUACCUAGAUGAGCACGUGCAUAGUUGCGUUAUGUACGUCACGCGUUUUGUUUGAUUCACACUAUCAAUUGCAACUCAUGCAUGCUUUCUGUAUACAAAAAACUCCAUUUUGUGUUCUGUCUGUCUAGAGAGGCUUUGCUUGGCUUGGUUAUUGCAUAAAAUAUGAUAAAGUGUAGGUUGCACUCGGUAUACAAACUACACUAACACUAUGACUUUAAAUAAGUAUUUUGUCAUGAGAUAUGCAACGCGCCCAUUGCAUUCACAUUUACCGCGUCUGUCUCAAGACUGUGAUCUGCUUAAAAUAUUUAUACAGGGAAAGUGCAAGAUAUCACUGAUUAUUUAAAAACUCCAAGGCUUGCUCAGCUAAUGUAUUUAUGUUUUAACACAUUAACGUCAUCGACGUUUCCAAAUACACCAACCUUAGUUCUGAAUAACACGAACAGAAAUCUUUUCAAGGCGCAUAUAAUUAAAUAAAUACUGCGAAAAUCUUAACGUGCAUGUCGAAACUUCGGGAUGUGACGUUGAGAGGGAAAGUGUUCAUUAGACCGUGGUUCUUCCGACCGCUCGCCAACAGCUCGUGCGCAAUCGACCAGUAAAAGUAACAUCGCUUUAUAAUUCAUAACCGCUAUGACAUUCUAACCGGUAACCGUUCAUUUUAAUGCGGCCCAUGUACAUAAGGACGUUUUAAUAGUGUAGAACGGCAAUCAAGCUGAACGGCAAUUUAUCAUAUAUGAGUCCCAUACUCAAUUGCACAAGGCAACUUAUUUAGCUCACGGGAGCCAAUUAUUUGUCCUACUUUCUUGUUGUCUAAUAUGAUUACGUUGCACUUUUGAAGUAUCGUACGAUCUUGAAGUAACAGUAGACGGAUUGGGAAUUUUUUCGAAAAUAAUGUAAUAAACAAAAAAGAAAAGGUCUUUAAUAAACAAAAAUAUAUUUGUUUAUUAUUCAAUGAAACAAUACUAAUUGUAUACAUUAUGUUAGUAAUAGGAGUGAUUAGGCAAAAGUAAAAUAAUUAACAAAUAUGUGGUCUAUUUCAACGAUACUAUUUUGACAAUAAAAGAGUUGUUACUGCAGCUGAUGUGCAUGUCAACGUAUGUUCAUUACGUCAGAAUGCACCGAGAACAACGCGUAUAUCAACCUUAGAUCUGAUCAGGUGUUAUACUUAGCUAUUAUAUUUAUAUAUUUUCAAAAAUCUACCAUAUUUGUAAGACAUAAAAAAUAUCUUUUAAACAAGUACUUCUUAUUUCUCAGUAGAAAUAAAACGUUUAUAUGACUCAAACAUGCGAAUAAACUGCAUCUUGGGGAAUUACAAACUGAUGUCAUGCUCCGUAACACACGCGUAUUAAAGUUACCUACAAUUUUAUAUAAUACAAUAUCGAUUAAUAUUCCUCAUACUUUGUAUGGUCAUUUCAAUUUGUAUUCGUAAUUUGUCAUAUGUGUGUUACUUUUUAAUAAUUAACGUAAAUUGGUUCAAAUCAUUUCAAAAGCGAUGUACUGUUAUGUAUUAUUAUUGAAUUAGUAUUCAACGAAUGAAGUCUUAUACUUUAUUGGAUAAUGUUUAGUUAGAUAUAUCACAAAUGCAGGAGACGCGUAAUAUUUGAUUUCGAUCUAUCCCAUUGCCUAACUCGGCGGAUGGGGGGCUAUGUCAGUCUGAGGCAAGGCCGGUCUGGCCUACUUGCGCUAGCGCUCACCUUUGUUUCGACUUGCCGCGCAAAACACGUCUCUAUCGACCUGCAAUAAUUACAACAACCAACAACAAUUGACUUUAAUGUUCCAUACACAAUGCCGUCGCUUUUUUCACACGAUCAAGGGACAUUUAUUCCCAUAGUUCGAAAGAAAACUAAAGUAGGUCCAAUAUUAACUACGAUUAAUUUUUCUCUUAGUUUAAUAUUAGAAAUAUACACACAAAAUAAAUACAUAACUCCGUCAUAUCGCGCUAUCUUCAACUAAUAUGUAAAAGAUAUAUUCUACACGUGUUCACUGUUUAGUGAUAAUGUUUGUUUCCUUUGUUAUAAAACGACACGACAGUGCAUCGUAGCGUUUGAUGGCAAUAAAUGAAUCAUCGUGCCAUUAAAAAAAUAUAAAAAUAAGUAAGUAAAUAAAAUAAAAAUUAUUUUUUAAAUGCAAUUUUUAACUGACAGUAAAAUCAAGUCGCACAAAAAUAGAUUACGUAUUAAAAAAACAAACAAGCAAAAACAGUUUUAAAGUUUAAAUAUAAAUUACAAUGGAAACAAACUAUUAUGUACUGCCUUAAUCUACUCCGAGUGCAGGCGCCUAAUACCACAGACCAACCGACUCAUUCAAUAUUGCGUUUACUCGAAUAGCUUAACACUUUAGUAACUAUAGCUAAAUGAACUAUCUAGUCCUCAAUGUGAGAUUUAUCUUCUUGUACAUUGUAAUAGAUGUAAUAGGUGUAUAAAAAUAGACAAAAUAUUUUAAAUAAGUCUUAUAUAUAAUUUUGAUUUUCAACUUUAAUACUUUCCCUCACUUUCCAUUUGCGAUGGUUAUGUACUCAACGUUCCAUAUAGAAACGACAAAGCUAUCGUUGAACUCGUUUUACUUAUACCUUGGCCACGUCUAUCCAUACUUAAUCGUAAUGUUAUGUUACGAAUACUUAACGAACGUUGUCAAUUGGUCACUGUGACAGUCAUUGCGCCUAUAAAAUAUUAAUAAGUUAACACGCUUCAAAAUACAUCACAAAUGGUAACGGUUACGUGAUACUUAUUAUUAAAUAAUAUUGUGUUCCACUAACUUUUUAAAUAAUUCAACUAACCUUCGCUUUUUUGCACAUCCCUACGGCAUUAACAUUACAGUGAAUAUAGGGACAUUAGUGAUACAAAGACGUGCAUUGACAAUUCAGUGACGUUCACGCGUGAACAAUCAAUAUCGACGUUUUGAGUACGUCUCGGGGUCCGUGCCAGGAGUGCGUUUGCAAAGCACGCGACAGUUUGCGUUUUGGCAAAGUUGACACUGUAAAUGCACUAUCUGGUACGACACCCCGGGAUGUUUUGCGACGCAUCUGACCUGCCACUCGGAAUGUGCCGUCCACAGUUCUAUGAACUGAUACAAACUGAAAAGUGCUUUUGAUACAGUUUAUUUUUUGAACUUUCUAGAUAAUAUGUAGUGUUUUUUUUAAUUAUUUUUUUUUUAGUUAUAUAUGUCAUGCCUAAUAUGAGAUAACACAUAAAUUUAUUAAAUUAUAUUUGCAAUUAUGUUAAUCUAAUUAUAUCUAAAAGUUUAUUAUAGCAUAAGUUAUUUCUAAAAGUUACUUUUAGCAAUCCAAGUUUCUCAUGUUGAGCUUUAUUUUUAUUUAGUUAUUAUUUAUGCACUUUAAUUAUUAUUUUAAUUAUAUUGUAUUUGUAUUAUUUUAUCUAACUAAAAUUGUGUUGUAUUGAGUAUUAUACAAAUUAUACUUUGCUUUUGUGUUAUAGUUUUCUUCGUAGUGUGUAUUUUUAAUAAAUAAUAUUAUUUUAUUUUUUCCUAGUUUAGUGGCAGUAUUAUUAUUAUGUAAUCGUUUAUACGGUUUUUCGUUUAGUAACGACACAAAUACAUAAAAAAAGUUCCUGAAAUUAUUCUAAGUGACUUUUCUAAUUAAUCUAUCGUUGAUUGUGACACACGAUACUUUUUAGUACUGUCUGGUUUGAUGGAAAAUAACUAUACUACUUAUAACUAGGCUACUAUAUAGUUUUACGAAAACAAUGACUUUGUCAGCUGACAUAAUUAUGUAAUAGCAAAUUGUAGAAUAGAAAAAUACUGGCCGCGUUAUAAUUACGAGUUGUACGUUAUAAAAGCUAUAAACAUUGUAGCUCUCUCUUAUUCACACAUCUGUACUAUUCUCGUGAGGCCUUGAAAAUCUUACCAAGUUACGCGUUCUAGUCACCGGGGUUUCUAGGAAAGGAUUCCAUAAUUAGGAGUAUAGUCCAAUAAACAACAACGUAAUAUAACAAUUUUUUUGUACAUAACUCUAAACAAUGACCUAUGUAGAGCUCAAUAUAAUAAUUAUAAUAUCGAUGAAGCUGUCAAAAUUCAAUAUCACAACACUAUUCUCAUAAAAAUUGUUAGUACCUACGUAUCAUUGGAAAAAUUUAAUAGAUAGAAAUAAAUGAAUUAAAUUUAACGUUACAAAUUCUUAAAAAUCAAUUCCAUUCAUUUAUUAUUCAGCAGACUUGAAUCGUGGGAAACACUACCCAGGUUAGUUCAUAGUUAUUAUGAAAAUUCAUGAAACCGCUUGAUAACUUUAUUUGAUUUAUUUAAUAACUAGCUGCCCGGACAGACUUCGUUCUGUCAAAACUUAAUAAUCAUCAUCAUCAUCAUCAAUUUCGUUCUGUCAAAAGUGAAUAGUAAAUUUUUUUUUUUACUUUUUUUUUGCAGAAGAAAAACUAUGCCUAUCAUAUUGAUUAAAUAUGAAUAAGUUUACCUUAAUCUUGUUAUAAACAACUAGGUACGUAAGUUCUAUUGUGUGUUUAUAAUUCUAUUUAACAUGGCUCACAAACGCUGUGUAAACUUCACAAUAAAACACAAUAGGUUGAAAAUAUAAAUAUGCACAAAGAUACACAUAAUAAACAUGUUACACAUGCCCGCUAAUACAUUUUUAUCAAGCAAAUAUAAAUGUUUAAAGAAUUGUCACUGGAAUUUAAUAGAAUAAGCAAGUAGAACGACAUUAGGUCAAGUAUAGUUAGGUCCACAAGUGCGGGGGAAGCCUUAUGCGGCCUUGCAUUGUAAUCUCAUUUUAUAGUACACGUAUUACUAGAAAUAUUGAACAAGAAUUUAACGUAACUAGGUGAGUAAUUUUGGUACGAUUAAAUUAAACUAUUAUUUGGUACAUACUGAACAGUUCAAACGGGUAAUUGAAAUAAAUAUUUGAAAAUAGAUUUUUUAUUUUUAUACACUAGUUUAUUGUUUUUAAAUAAUAUUUUUAUUUUUGUUACCUAAAUGUAUUACUUAUUAUUUGUCUUUUGUUUACAAUGUUUUGUGUGCUUUUGUCAUGUAUAUGUUUUUAUAUAGGUACGACUCAAUAAAUAUAUAUUUUUUUUCUAAAAAAAAAAAAAAAAAAAAAACGACGACUAGACAAUUAAAUCACAAAUCACUAUUUGCUAAAACAAAACUUAAUCAUUUCAUAUUACGAUCAGUCCAAUCAUGCGAUUAAGAUUAAAUAUCUUUGCUUACGACAUACGUUCUUAAGAAUCAUGUAGAGUUCUUGAUAAAAUAAUACAAAAAUACUAAAAUAGUCCGAAAACAACAUAAUUAAAAUAUGUAAAUAAUUAUGUAAAACAUUUAAUAGUUAUAAGUAACUCGACUCAUUGACGCAGCGGUCUCAGCAACGGCGUCCAAACAUUUUUAUAAGCUUUACAUAUAUUUAUCGUGAUAUGGUCAUUUGUGCUUAUCUACUGUGGAUAUUUAGGGAUAUCCAACACACUGCCCAAAUACUGUGAAGGGAAUUAUUUUUUUUUUCUUUUAUUUAUUUUAGGGAAUAGGGAAUUAUAUAGGAGGCGUUUACCUAACCGACUUUAUCAAAGUGAAUUACAUUAUUUCGUUUCAAGUACCUUACAUAUUGUUUGAUCACUUCAGCCUAAAACAGUCCACUGCUGGACGUAGGCCUCCACAAGUUCGCGCCAAAAAUGCAGUGAACUCAUGUGUUUUGUCCAUAGUCAUCACUGACUUUGUCGCACCGAAGACGCUGCUGCCCGUUUUCGGCCUGUGUAUUUCAAAGCCACCAGUUGGAUGGUUAUCCCGCCAUCGGUCGGCUUUUUAAGUUCCAAGGUUGUAGCGGAACUGUGUUAUCCCUUAAUCGCCUCUUACGACACCCACGGGAAGAGAGGGGUGGCUAUAUUCUUUACUGCCGUAACCACACAUAUUGUUUGGUAAAAUAGAAUUCUGUGAUCACAAAUUACAUUUGUUUUCAUCGCACCAAUUUUUUUUUAAUGAAUAAAAGCAAUUUUACAGUGCAAAUAUCGUAAAAAAAUAAUUAUGAGUUAUAAACUUAGGAGGACUUACAUUAACUACGAAACUGUGUUUUAUUUAAAAAGUUAUAACAUUAAAUAUCAUCAUAAUGAAACCACAUUUUUUUAGGUCCAGGGCAAAUAUAAAUGCUUUUUUAGUUUUUACAGGUACGAAAACAUACAAAGCAUAAGGGGAGGCAUAAUAUAUAAGCAUAUCGAGAUAGCCUAACUCGAGGGUGACAGACCGAUUUUCUCAUCAAUUUAAGGGUCAUUUAGUCUUGAGUAUAGGCUUCCAGGACUUGAAGCAUCGAGAACGUAGUGAACAAGCUAAAUAUGAGUCACAAAAUAUAUUAAUCGAGUUCAUAAAAUUUACGCCUACAAAUAAUUUAAGCAGAAAACUUUAUGAGAAGCAAACGAAAUACAUUUUUGUGCUCUUGUCUACCGUAUACAUAUGUACUCUUAGAGUUUGUAAAGUGACUGCAAAAAAAAUAUGUCGACGCAAAAAUUGGGUGAAAUUGUUUUUUAGUUUCGUUACUUAAAAACUUAAAUUGUUUAAAUUGUUUUUAUAAGCAUUGAACUUUUUUAGACGUGUUUGUUUCUAUAGAAUAUAAAAAUUAAAUGCAAUAUAUAUUUGACGUGCCUAAGAUAUGUUACAUUCAAACAAAAAAAUAAUUCAAAUUACUAAUUCUUAAAACCGAUUAACAUUUUCGGCCCUAUUUAGGAAGUAAGAAUAGGUUUAAGAAGACGAAUAAUCUUAAGAAGAUAUAUUGACAGGCCGCGAUGGCAGUGUGGUUAGCUGGUUGUUAAGUUAAUAUCAACAGCCAGUAACGCCACUGCCUCUGCGUUCUGCUCAAACCAUCUAGAAGGAAGUGAAGACAUCGUGGAUUGUAUUUUUAUAUAACUAUUUUGUUUAUCUUUUAUGUACCUAGAUUUUAUAAGAAUUUUUUUUACAAGGUUUUUGCGUUUUAAGUGCUAUAAGAAUCUUUUAAAAUAUUUACCCCCACGGGUAUACACAUACGGUCACCAACCCGCCUGCCCAGCGUGGAGACUAUGGGCAACGCACAUGAGUUCGCGCCAUUUUUGACGCGAACUUGUGGAGGUCUAUGUCCAGCAGUGGACUGCAAUAGGCUGAAAUGAUGAUGAUGAAAAUAUUUAUAUUGAAAAGAAAGUAUUGAUUUAAGUUUAUUAAUAUGUUAUACGAACCCGACUGACUGACAUUAUAUCUUUUAAAAACGAAUACAAAUACGUAAUAAUUUAAAAUAUAGUAAACAGACGAACAAUUAUAAUGAAUGAAGAAUAUUAUUUAAUAAAAUAAAUAAAAUGCACAUAUAAUAAGUAUUAAUGCUAGCACAACAAUAAACGUAGUUAUUAAAAAUUUAUAAUUAUCCAAUAUAACAUAUAGCUGGUAAGAUGCGAAAUGAACUACAAAUAGAAACUCAUAAAUAUCAUGAUAUUCGCACGUAGCUCGUGUCAACGAUGCACUGAAAUAAAUGCAGUAGCCUUCAGGUGCAUUUAUGGGACGGACGCCAAAGCGUGUCGGGGCACACGUGGACGGCAGUAUUCAUUAUACCCAUCCUUAUUUGUACCUACCGCAUAUUUUAAGCUGAACGUACAUACAUUGUAUUAUGUACAUAUAUACCUUACCUUUAUUAUUGUUGUUAUUUUUCUUGAUUUUUUUUACUACAUUGUAAAAACCUUAACAAUAGUAAACUUUACUGUAGUAAAAGACAUUUUUCUUUUGUUAUUUUAGACAUUUUUAAUUAUUUAUAUUUUUUAAUUUUUAUUUGAUUUCUGUGUUUUGAAAUGUUUAUUUAAUUUUUAAAGAAAAAAAAAUUGUCUAUUAUAUAUGUUUCUAUUAAUAUGAUGAUUUAAUUUUUAUCACUUACAUGUAGUAGAUCUUUAUUAGUACUUAUUUUUUAUUAUGGUGUGAUUGAAAUUGUAAAUAAAAAAUAAACGAUUAUACAGUAAAAUGUUUAUUUAUUCCUCUACACAUAAAUUACAAGUUAAGAAAAUGAUAUCCCAUAUUCAAAUUACAUAUUGUACAAGAGUUACAACUAAAAAUGCGAUUUUAUUAUAAUUAAAAAAUAGGCGAUCUAACUUACAUCAAGAUACCAAACGCUUAAAUUACGGUAGUAGAAUUAUCGAGACACGUGUUUAUUUAAGAAAAACAAAGCAAUUUCUACAACUGUCAAACUUGAUAUUUCAAAAUAUCAACCUAUUUUCAUAAUAUACAAUGAUAAAUGACACUGAAUUUUUUUAACAUUUAAAAUAUUAAUGAGAAAAGAAUCUAAAAAUAAAUUUUAGUCAGGUUAGGCAAAUCAUUUACUACAUAUUACUGCUAUUUAGCAUACUAAAACAAUAUUCAGAGAAUUUAAUUAAAAUACUUUAUGCAACCUUGUCUAUUUUUAUUUUGAAUAAAUGUCUUUGAAUAGAAACGAGUUUUAUUUUCUUUCCUGUAACUUUUAGUUAAAUUUAAUUAAAUGUGAAACCUGGAAAUUAUUAAUUUUGAUCAAAGCACACAUUACAAACGAUUUCAUACCUCAGCAAACCAUCAAAGUACAUAAUAUGCAUAAGUAUUAAAUAAAAUUUAAGUAAUUAUUAUAAUUUUUACUUUAUGAAAACGUUAUACUCAGAGGUAUGUAACGCAAAGCAAAAAAAAAAUAUAUAUUAUUAUUUUUUAUUACAAUUAGGAUUCAGUUAUAGCGACAUAUCUUCGACAAAAAUAAACUCAAAAUAUUCGAAUAAUGAUUCCAUAUUUUUUAAGAGGAAAAUUUUUAAGCUAGUAAUUUUUUAAAGAAAAA